rnacentral:rRNA from 1 species
GGCGCAAGCCUGAUGCAGCGACGCCGCGUGAGGGAUGACGGCCUUCGGGUUGUAAACCUCUUUCAAUAGGGACGAAGCGCAAGUGACGGUACCUAUAGAAGAAGGACCGGCCAACUACGUGCCAGCAGCCGCGGUAAUACGUAGGGUCCGAGCGUUGUCCGGAAUUACUGGGCGUAAAGAGCUCGUAGGUGGUUUGUCGCGUUGUUCGUGAAAACUCACAGCUUAACUGUGGGCGUGCGGGCGAUACGGGCAGACUAGAGUACUGCAGGGGAGACUGGAAUUCCUGGUGUAGCGGUGGAAUGCGCAGAUAUCAGGAGGAACACCGGUGGCGAAGGCGGGUCUCUGGGCAGUAACUGACGCUGAGGAGCGAAAGCGUGGGGAGCGAACAGGAUUAGAUACCCUGGUAGUCCACGCCGUAAACGGUGGGUACUAGGUGUGGGUUUCCUUCCUUGGGAUCCGUGCCGUAUCUAACGCAUUAAGUACCCCGCCUGGGGAGUACGGCCGCAAGGCUAAAACUCAAA